rnacentral:rRNA from 1 species
GACGAACGCUGGCGGCGUGCCUAACACAUGCAAGUCGAACGGAAACGCCCUGCCUUUUUGGGCUGCUCGAGUGAAGGACGGGUGAGUAACACGUGAGUAACCUGCCCCUGACUUUGGGGUGACUUCAGGAAACUGAGGCUAAUACCACCUAGGAGUUACUGCUGCAGGGUGGGGGUUGGAAAGAUUCGGCGGUUGGGGGUGGAAUCGCGGCUUAUCAGCAUGUUGGUGGGGUAGUGGCUUACCAAGGCUUUGACGGGUAGCCUGCCUGAGAGGGUGACCGGCCACGUUGGGACUGAGAUACGGCCCAGACUCGUACGGUAGGCAACGGAGGAGAGUAUUAUACAGUAGGCUGAAGCCUAGUGCGACAACGCCGCGUGCGGGAAGACGUGCUUGCGGUUGGGAAGCGAAUUCGCUUGAGACGAGGCGUGAGUGACGGUAACGGGUGAAGAAGCACCGGCUAACUACGUG